AUUAAUCUUAAAAAUGAAAACUUGAAAUGAUCGAUCAUAAGAUGAUCAUCAGAUAUCAACAAAACUCUUAGCGCCAUCUCUUUGUAUUAAAUUUUAUUCAAACUCUUAAAUCAAAUGACCAGAGAAAGAGAAGUGUUUCACUUUCUUUUAAUUAAUCUUCUUUUACGUAAGAUGGCAACAGUUAAGGGUCAUUAGAUUUCAACUCUUUCAUCAACUGUUAUUGUUUUGUUGUCGUAUUUUGUUGAGGAAAUAUUAACAAUUAUCAAUUUUAAAUUGUUAACUUUUGAAUUGCUCUAUUUAUAUUCACAUUUUGAUAUGUUCACGAAUAGAUGUUUCAUUAAAUGUGUACAAAUUUGUCUGCAAUUGAUUUAUUGAUUGUUAGCCAGUUUAUAAUAUAAGUAACCUAUCAUCAAACCAGGUAUCCACCAAGUAACUCAUAAAGAGGCUGAACAAAUAAUCAGAUUGUGAUUAAAUUAAAAAGAUUGAUUUGAUGGUUUCCAAAUUUCAUUGUGGCAGAUUGAAUUGAACCAAUUUUGUCAUUAUUAGGAAAAAAGGGUUAAUAAGCAUACUCAUCAAUAUUGGCUUACUGUUGACUCAACAACUCUGCAAUCUGGUAAUUUACAUCAAUUGACAAUGAAUUGGAUAAAAGAGGUUGUUGCUUUAAACAAGCCUAUUGUCAUUAAAAUUGGGUUUCAAUGAUUGAACGAUACUCAAGGAAUCAAAGAGGAUAAAACCAUUUCAUCCAUUCAUAACCAGUCUGUAGGUUUUGUUAAAUAUGCUGAUGAUGAUAAUAAUAGCUGAAAUUAUCAAAAGAUUAUUGGACCUAAAUGUUAUUUGAUGGGGAAAAAUCAAGCAAAAGGGACACUAUUGAGUUCAUCUAUUUUAUUAUUUUAUUGGACAAUCGUGAAGCAUAAAGAAAUAUUAACUGAUUAGAUCCAAUUAAUUGUACCUGUUGAUAACUACUGUAUUCAUAUAUCAGAGCAAUUUGAGAUAAAUGUAAAGCUUGGUGGAUCGUUGGAAAAAGUAUUAGAGCCGAAAGGAGAGAAAGAUGAUGAUGGAGACCAACAAUAAUCAUGGAUAUAAAUAUAGGCAGACGAUAAAAUUGACUUCUUACCGAGUAACCGAAGUGGCUAAUGACUUGAAGAAUCACUUUAAACAAGAUAAAUUCAAUUUCAUCAAAGUCAAUGAAAGAAAAGUAAUCAAGAUGAUGGUUACCUGAUCAAUGAGCCCUGUCAUUAACUAAAUAUCUUAUAAUCUGGUCUCCAUCUUGUUUGUAAAAAGGCAACUCAAGUGAUUUGCUAGUUACAUUAUAGUUACAAUAUCGUGAUAACUAUUGUAAAAUGUAUUUCGAUUAAAUGGAAUUGAAACAAGUUGCAAUGUUAAAGGCGCGUUAACCAAUCACUUUACCUGUAUACAGCUUAAGGUAUUGGUAUUUCAAUUUGAUUCAUUAAUUUUUACAAAUUGAUAAUUGACUGAAUGAACUCAAUCACUUUGCCUCCCCAUUGACGGAUUAUUAUUUAACUACAUGUUUUUAAAGAAAGUAAUGAAUGAUACACAUGAAUGUUCCAUCUCCUGAACCUAAUAUGGCCACAAAACCAGUUAUAUUUUCAUCAUCUUAUUAAUAAUUAAGUACCAUGACGAUCAUCAUACAUCUUUUAGACUACACAAUUACGAGUUACCAAAUCUUGUUUGGAAUAAUGGAAAAGUUGAAGUAAAAAAACUCUUUAAGGUCAAGACUACUUGAUGAUGAGAAAACAUAGGACGCCAACAGCUACAGUGAUGACCACAAGAAAUGGUGGCGUUGAUUAUUAUUUGAUAUAACAAUUCAAACUUGAAAUGAUAGUUGAAAAACAAAACACCCUGAAAGCUGAGAGUACAUAAAGAGCAAUUGUUAACAACAGUGAGAAACAAAAAAGCAAAGUCAAAAUGAAUAUGAAAAGAAGACAAGGAGAGUAACUAUAUUUGAAUUGUCAGACGAUCUUUCACAAUCUUGGCAGUUUAAACACCUUUCCCAAUACCUGAUACCAGCCUAUGUGACAACUAAAAAACGCAAUAUGGACACGAUUCCAGUGCCUAUGAACUCUGAAAGCUUGGUAUUGGUGAAGCGAGAUGCAGCUAAAUAGGCUUAUGAUUAAACGCUAUCAUAACCAUCAGUUUUAUAACAAAGUGUUGAUGGCUAUUGCUGUUAAUGUUAAUUCUCCAUGAACUAACCAGAUGAAAUCAAUGGAUUGAAUGAAUUACAUUUUGCCUAAAAAAAUAGUUGCUACAACUAAAGGCCAACUGUGGAGAGGAUAUGAAAUUUUGAAGCUUCAACAGAAAAAAAGAAACGUCAAUUGAAUGUGAUAGGCCAAUUUGAAGAGAAUAAGCAAUUCCAACAAUCAGAUGGACCAUUCUUUUCUUGCUUUCUUUAAAAGAAACUAUUUCGGUGGCCAAACGAUAUGUUUCAAGCUUCAUUUAUUUAUAAUUUUAUCAUGUUCCUGAAAACAUGAUCGUUCAACCAAAGCAUAUUAAUAUAUCUUCCGGGAAGUUUACCUUUAUAACAUUUUUUCUCUUCUUUUCAUUUAAUCUUGUUUUGAUCUUUUUUUCAGUAUGAAGAUGCUUUCUUACAAAUCACUCCGUCAAUCAAUUUGUAAAGUGUGUUUUUUCCCUCACAAUUCAAGCUGAUUAUUUCAGGCAAAUGAAAGAAGACUUAAAGCAAACAUUGAUGGCUACAUUUUUUUGGAUGAUUGAACAAUUAAUCUUGACCAAUGAAUGAGUAUAAUGGAUAUCAUUUAAUGAUCAACUCUAAUCAUUUUAUGUUUUCAUUUUUUACCAGUUGAGUUAAAUUUAACUUGGUCAAGCUUCAAUUCUUACCUGAACGCGAGCUUCAGA